UAAAGCGUGGCUCCAGUGUUACUAUGUGAAGGGGAUGAAGUCUGUAAAAGAUCACAACGGCAGAACUAUGUGGUUCAAGGUGAGCACACACACACACACACACCUGCCUUUUAGGCAGCUCAUGUAAUGUGAUUGUUUUGUCUGGUUUCAGGAGACCCAGGUUCCAUGGCUCCUAAAGAUGCCAUAUCUCCCAAAACAAAGAUGACAGUGAAGAAAGAGACGACCAUGAUUAUAAAGGGGGAAAAGAGGUAAAGAAGGCCCGCUCCAGAGAGACGAUGAAGCCAAAAUACAUAAAGGAAACAGUGGAGAAAAAAGGAAGUCCCUCAGAGACGAGCAGGAAGGAGAAGUAAACUCCUCAG